CAGAACGUAGCUAAGACAGCAAAGCAUCUCCCUUACACUGAGAAGUCGCCCGUGCAAAUCGGGCUGCUCUGA
rnacentral:tRNA from 1 species